rnacentral:rRNA from 1 species
CAGCCGUAAACGAUGUGCGUUAGGUGUAUCGACGACCACGAGUCGUCGAGGUGCCGAAGGGAAACCGUGAAACGUACCGCCUGGGAAGUACGGUCGCAAGGCUGAAACUUAAAGGAAUUGGCGGGGGAGCACCACAACAGGUGGAGCCUGCGGUUUAAUUGGACUCAACGCCGGGAAGCUCACCGGAUAGGACAGCAGAAUGAUUGCCGGGCUGAAGACCCUGCAUGACUAGCUGAGAGGUGGUGCAUGGCGUCAGUGACU